rnacentral:rRNA from 1 species
GAUGAACGCUAGCUACAGGCUUAACACAUGCAAGUCGAGGGGUAACGAGAGGAAAGCUUGCUUUCCUUGUCGACGACCGGCGCACGGGUGAGUAACGCGUAUCCAACCUGCCCCCAACUAGGGAAUAACCUUGCGAAAGUAAGACUAAUACCCUAUAAUUUCCUCAGAUGUCAUCUGACGAGGAAUAAAGAUUUAUCGGUUGUGGAUGGGGAUGCGUCUGAUUAGCUUGUUGGCGGGGUAACGGCCCACCAAGGCAACGAUCAGUAGAGGUUCUGAGAGGAAGGUCCCCCACAUUGGAACUGAGACACGGUCCAAACUCCUACGGGAGGCAGCAGUGAGGAAUAUUGGUCAAUGGGCGGAAGCCUGAACCAGCCAAGUAGCGUGCAGGAUGACGGCCCUAUGGGUUGUAAACUGCUUUUAUACAGGAAUAAAGUUAGCCACGUGUGGUUAUUUGUAGGUACUGUAUGAAUAAGGACCGGCUAAUUCCGUGCCAGCCGCCGCGGUAAAA